GGGGGUAUAGCUCAGUGGAAGAGUGCAUGUUUGGCGUGCACGAGGUCCUGGGUUCAAUCCCCAGUGUCCCCG
rfam:Camelus ferus unplaced genomic scaffold scaffold247, whole genome shotgun sequence.